AUCAAAACGAUAAGUAUUGAACACAGAAUUGAAUGAUUUUAUGAUAACAAAUCCCGCUGCCGCUACCGCUCGUGCGCACAACCAUGCAACCAUUUCAUAAAAUUACUGCAGACAGACGCAAGUGGCGGACUCAAAAAAUUAUUGAUAAAAACUUUCCGUUCGGUGUUUUGUAUAUUCGUGACCAUAUCUAAAACCGUGGUUAGAACCAACGGUCCAACCACAGCUUUAUUAACUUUUGAGGUUACAUCUUGUCUGAGUUUGUACUCUGAGUUGUCUGAUUGUUUUUAUUCUUUAAUUGUGUAAUUCAAUUUUGAUUCUAUUAAAUAUAUUAAUAUAUUAAUCUAUUUCCUACAUUCCUAGUAGCAUAUAAUAUUAUACUCGAUUUAUUAUAAUUUGUAAUUUAUAUUUUUUAAUCAAAGGUAUUACAAUAUUGAUCAUUAAUUAUCUUAUUGUACUAAAUUUGAAUGAAAUUAUAUUCAUUAUAUAAUUUAUAUUAUGGUGUUCGUUACAGCUGUUAUAGGUUUUCAAAAAAAUGGAUAAACCAGUAGUAUUAUCAAGAGUUUUGAAGGUACUGGGACGAACGGGUUCGCAAGGUCAAUGUACACAGGUUAAAGUGGAAUUUAUUGGUGAACAAAAUCGUCAAAUUAUCAGAAAUGUUAAGGGACCAGUACGUGAAGGCGAUAUCCUAACACUGCUUGAAUCUGAAAGAGAAGCUAGAAGACUUCGAUAAUCUAAAUAUACCUACUCUCAGUGAGUCCAGUUUAGUUAAAUAAUUGAGUGAUUUUAAAAAUUUAAAAAAAAAAAAUCAAUAUUGUUUUGACAGCAAUUAGUUCAGAUACAAGCUGACGUAUUAUUAAUCUUUAAAUUCUUUAAAAAUGUGUAUCAAUAUUUUUUCAUAUAAAGUUAGGUAUACAUGUGAAAUUCAUGCAACAAAAUACUGUAUAAAAACACAUAGUGGCAUAACCAUAUGGAGUUUUGAGUGUUGUAACUACCCAUUCCAUUGAAUUUUUUACUAUAGAAGAGGUUCAGAAGUUUGUAAAUCCCUAAACUGUCUUAUUGAUGAAUCUAUGCCACUGUAUACACUUAUGUUCAUUUAUCUAUUCUGAAGUUUAAACAAUAAUGAAUUGUUAAAUUAUAGUAACCUUGUGAAGGUUUAUUUUAAAGUUGCACAAUAUAUUUUGCGCAAGGACCCAUGUUUUAAUAAAUAGACUACCAGUCUUAUAUAACGGUGCUACAAAACUCCCUAGUUUCAGCAUUGGGCAUAAAUUCAAUUUAGUUCCCAAGUGAUUAUUAAGAAACUUUAUUUUUCAAAAUAUGUGAUUUUACAUGCUUUAAGCAUAUAAUAUGAUAGUAUUUUCAAAACAAGCCAAUUAAAAACUUGAGAGAUUCUUGAUUUUUCAGAAAUCUAGUUUUAAAAAAAAAAACAAAAAUUAAUUUUUUUUUUAAUAAAAUAAAUAAGUAAAUUUUGAGUUACUUUCAAAAUCAAAUAUUUGAAAUAAAUUUAUGUAUUAACAAUAAAAUGAAAAUUAAGUAAAGUAAUUAAUUUCCGAUUUCAUCAAAAAUAAAUGGACGUACUCACACAAUGGGUGGGCCACUGUUGUAGGUGAGUAAUUGGGAAGGCAAAGGGGAAAUGUAAUGUAUAUCUGUAAAUAUCUGUAACUUUAUUUUUUUUCGCCUACAAACAAUUAUGGGUACCACUCCACUUCGCCAAAAUUUUGUUGACACUAAAUAAAUCGUCUAUAAAAGUUUUGCAUUAAGAUUGUAUAUAAAUCUUCAAAACUAGGAAGGGUAUUCUCCCACACCCUUAUAAAAUCAAAUUACUUAUGCUAUUUAAAAUUACAAUUUAAUAUAAUUUUAAACAAUUUUUUUUUUUUCAGGUUUUUUGAUGCAUGUAUAUAUAAAUUUGUUUGAAUGUGGAACACCUGAUGCAUUCAAAAAACAAAAUUAAAUGUUGUUUAAAUUAUAUCUGUUAAAUAAAACAUCUUGAACUUGCAUUGAAAAUUGUG
rnacentral:lncRNA from 1 species